rnacentral:rRNA from 1 species
GACGAACGCUGGCGGCAUGCUUAACACAUGCAAGUCGAACGGAAAGGCCCUGCUUUCGUGGGGUGCUCGAGUGGCGAACGGGUGAGUAACACGUGAGUAACCUGCCCCUGACUUUGGGUUAACUUCAGGAAACUGGGGCUAAUACCGGAUAGGAGCUCCUGCUGCUUGGUGGGGGUAGGAAAGUUUCGGCGGUUGGGGAUGGACUCGCGGCUUAUCAGCUUGUUGGUGGGGUAGGGGCUUACCAAGGCUUUGACGGGUAGCCGGCCUGAGAGGGGGACCGGCCACAGUGGGACUGAGAUACGGCCCAGACUCCUACGGGAGACAGCAGUGGGGACUAGUGCACGAUGCACGCAAGCCGGGUGCAGCAACGCCGCGUUCGGGAUUACGGCCUUCGGGUUGUAAACCGCAUUCGCCUGUAACGGAGCUUGAGUGACGGUAAUGGGUAAAGAAGCACCGGCUAACUACGUG